rnacentral:rRNA from 1 species
GCACAGUAAACUAUGGAUGCUCGCGGUGCGGGGCUUGCCCCUACGCCGCCUAGCGAAAGCGUUAAGCAUCCCACCUGGGGAGUACGCCGGCAACGGUGAAACUCAAAGGAAUUGACGGGGGCCCGCACAAGCGGAGGAACAUGUGGUUUAAUUCGAUGAUACGCGAGGAACCUUACCCGGGCUUGAAAGAUGGUCGGCGGCGUCCAGAGACGGGCGCUUCCUUCGGGCGGCCAUCUAGGUGCUGCAUGGUUGUCGUCAGCUCGUGCCGUGAGGUGUCGGCUUAAGUGCCAUAACGAGCGCAACCCUUAUCGUUGGUUACCAUCGGGCAAUGCCGGGGACUCCAGCGACACUGCCAUCGCAAGAUGUGAGGAAGGCGGGGAUGACGUCAAAUCAGCACGGCCCUUACGUCCGGGGCUACACACGUGUUACAAUGGGGGGCACAGAAAGCUGGAUGGCGGCGACGUCGUCCGAAUCCUCAAAUCCCCUCCAGUUCGGACUGGAGUCUGCAACCCGACUCCACGAAGCUGGAUUCGCUAGUAAUCGCGCAUCAGCCAUGGCGCGGUGAAUACGUUCCCGGGCCUUGUACACACCGCCCGUCAAGCCAUGAAAGUCGGGGGCGCCUGAAGUCCGUAGCCGCAAGGCGCGGCCUAGGGCGAUACCGGUGAUUGGGGCU